rnacentral:rRNA from 1 species
UGGGGAAUUUUGGACAAUGGGCGAAAGCCUGAUCCAGCAAUGCCGCGUGUGUGAAGAAGGCCUUCGGGUUGUAAAGCACUUUUGUCCGGAAAGAAAUCCUUGGCUCUAAUACAGUCGGGGGGAUGACGGUACCGGAAGAAUAAGCACCGGCUAACUACGUGCCAGCAGCCGCGGUAAUACGUAGGGUGCAAGCGUUAAUCGGAAUUACUGGGCGUAAAGCGUGCGCAGGCGGUUUGCUAAGACCGAAUGUGAAAUCCCCGGGCUCAACCUGGGAACUGCAUUGGUGACUGGCAGGCUAGAGUAUGGCAGAGGGGGGUAGAAUUCCACGUGUAGCAGUGAAAUGCGUAGAGAUGUGGAGGAAUACCGAUGGCGAAGGCAG